AUACGGAGGGUGCAAGCGUUACUCGGAAUCACAGGGCGUAAAGCGCGCGCAGGCGGGCUGAUAAGUUGGAUGUGAAAGCCUACGGCUCAACCGUAGAACUGCAUCCAAAACUGUCAGUCUAGAGUCUGGGAGGGGAAGAUGGAAUUAGUUGUGUAGGGGUAAAAUCCGUAGAGAUAACUAGGAAUACCAAAAGCGGAGGCGAUCUUCUGGAACAGUACUGACGCUGAGGCGCGAAAGCGUGGGGAGCAAACAGGAUUAGAAACCCUAGUAGUCC
rnacentral:rRNA from 1 species